rnacentral:rRNA from 2 species
CUGGCUCAGGACGAACGCUGGCGGCGUGCCUAAUACAUGCAAGUCGAGCGAACAGAGAAGGAGCUUGCUCCUUCGACGUUAGCGGCGGACGGGUGAGUAACACGUGGGCAACCUACCUUAUAGUUU